AGUCGAGGGGUAACAGGGAUUAGUUUACUAAUUUGCUGACGACCGGCGCACGGGUGAGUAACGCGUAUACAAUUUGCCUUUUACAGGAGGAUAGCCCAGAGAAAUUUGGAUUAAUACUCCAUGGUAUUACGGAAUCGCAUGGUUUUGUAAUUAAAGUUUCGGCGGUAGAAGAUGAGUAUGCGUCCUAUUAGCUAGUUGGUAAGGUAACGGCUUACCAAGGCGACGAUAGGUAGGGGUCCUGAGAGGGAGAUCCCCCACACUGGUACUGAGACACGGACCAGACUCCUACGGGAGGCAGCAGUGAGGAAUAUUGGUCAAUGGAGGCAACUCUGAACCAGCCAUGCCGCGUGCAGGAAGACUGCCCUAUGGGUUGUAAACUGCUUUUAUACAGGAAGAAACUUAUCCACGUGUGGAUAACUGACGGUACUGUACGAAUAAGGACCGGCUAACUCCGUGCCAGCAGCCGCGGUAAUACGGAGGGUCCAGGCGUUAUCCGGAAUCAUUGGGUUUAAAGGGUCCGUAGGCGGGCGAUUAAGUCAGGGGUGAAAUCCCACAGCUCAACUGUGGAACUGCCUUUGAUACUGGUUGUCUUGAGUGACAGUGAAGUAGAUAGAAUAUGUAGUGUAGCGGUGAAAUGCAUAGAUAUUACAUAGAAUACCGAUUGCGAAGGCAGUCUACUAACUGUGAACUGACGCUA
rnacentral:rRNA from 1 species